rnacentral:rRNA from 1 species
UGGGGAAUAUUGGACAAUGGGCGCAAGCCUGAUCCAGCCAUGCCGCGUGAGUGAUGAAGGCCUUAGGGUUGUAAAGCUCUUUUGUCCGGGAAGAUAAUGACCGUACCGGAAGAAUAAGCUCCGGCUAACUUCGUGCCAGCAGCCGCGGUAAUACGAAGGGAGCUAGCGUUGUUCGGAAUUACUGGGCGUAAAGCGCAUGCAGGCGGAUCGUUAAGUCGAGGGUGAAAUCCCAGGGCUCAACCCUGGAACUGCCUUCGAUACUGGCGAACUUGAGUCCGGGAGAGGUGAGUGGAACUCCGAGUGUAGAGGUGAAAUUCGUAGAUAUUCGGAAGAACACCAGUGGCGAAGGCGGCUCACUGGCCCGGUACUGACGCUGAGAUGCGAAAGCGUGGGGAGCAAACA